CGUGCCUAAUACAUGCAAGUCGAGCGGUGAGGCCACUUCGGUGGUACACGAGCGGCGGACGGCUGAGUAACACGUAGGAACAUACCCCAAACUGAGGGAUAACUGCUCGAAAGAGUAACUAAUACCGCAUGUGCGCUUCGGCGUAAAGCUACGGCGGUUUGGGAAUGGCCUGCGUCCGAUUAGCUAUAUGGUGAGGUAAUGGUUCACCAUGGCGACGAUCGGUAGCUGGUCUGAGAGGAUGAUCAGCCAGACUGGGACUGAGAACGGCCCAGACUCCUACGGGAGGCAGCAGUAGGGAAUUUUCCACAAUGGGGGCAACCCUGAUGGAGCAACGCCGCGUGCAGGAUGAAUGCCUUCGGGUUGUAAACUGCUUUUAUCUGUGACGAAUAUGACGGUAGCAGAUGAAUAAGGAUCGGCUAACUCCGUGCCAGCAGCCGCGGUCAUACGGAGGAUCCAAGCGUUAUCCGGAAUUACUGGGCGUAAAGAGUUGCGUAGGUGGCAAAGUGUGUCUGUAGUGAAAUCGUGAGGCUCAACCUUAUACACAUUAUAGAAACUGCUUGGGCUAGAGGACGAGAGAGGUUAUUGGGAAUUCCCCAGUGUAGGGAGUGAAAUCCCGUAGAUAUUGGGAGGAACACCGAUGGCGUAGGCAGAUAACUGGCUCGUUCCUGACACUAAGGCACGAAAGCGUGGGGAGCAAACGGGAUUAGAUACCCCCGGUAGUCCACGCCGUAAACGAUGGAUGCUAGCUGUAAGAGGUAUCGACCCCUCUUGUAGCGAAGCUAACGCGUUAAGCAUCCCGCCUGUGGAGUACGGUCGCAAGACUAAAACAUAAAGGAAUUGACGGGGACCCGCACAAGCGGUGGAGCGUGUUGUUUAAUUCGAUGGUAAACGAAGAACCUUACCCAGGUUUGACAUCCUUGGAAUUUUGCCGAAAGGCGAGAGUGCUUUAUUGAGCCAAGUGACAGGUGUUGCAUGGCCGUCGUCAGCUCGUGUCGUGAGAUGUUUGGUUAAGUCCAUCAACGAGCGCAACCCUUUUGGUCUGUUGUAUUUUUCAGGCCAGACUGCCCUGGUAACAGGGAGGAAGGGGGGGAUGAUGUCAGGUCAGUAUUACCCUUACAUCUGGGGCUACAAACACGCUACAAUGGCCGGUACAAAGGGCUGCCAAGUCGCGAGACGGAGCAAAUCCCAUCAAAGCCGGUCCCAGUUCGGAUUGGAGGCUGAAACUCGCCUCCAUGAAGUCGGAAUCGCUAGUAACGGUAGGUCAGCUAUACUACCGUGAAUACGUUCCCGGGUCU
rnacentral:rRNA from 1 species